AAUACCUGUAUGACAAUGGUAUACAUUAUAAUCAAUAACUGCAUAAAAUCAAUAAAUGCAGUUUUCUGACAAUAGCUUCUUGAAAAGAGCUACAAAUUAGACGAUCAGUUUGAGGAAUCGUGUACACGAUGACCAGACGGAGCCAGCGAGAUAUUCGACGGAAUGAAAUCGAUGAGCGCAUUUACGAAACUUUGGUUUUGAGGGCGAAACUUUUGAUGCUCCAAUUCACAGGCUGGCCUAUAUAAAGAAGAAGAAGAGGAUAACAUCAUACAAUAUGCGUAUGAGGAAGACCAAUGGUCAUACUGUAAACACUCAUUAAGUGUCACUGUGAAAUUAUGUCUUCUUGUAGUAAAAGGUAGUGACAACAGAAAACGUGUUUCUUCGUUAAUUUCAGACUUCAAUUAUAUUAUAACAAUACACACUACAGAACCUAAUGUAAUGAGGAAUAACACCCAUGCAAAAGAUUAAGAUCUCUAAGAUGCGGGAAUAAUUAUGAUGUUUUAAUUACUUACCUUACUUUCUAGUUUGUCUGAUAUAAUCAGACCAAAAAUUUUGUGGUUUGUUGCUUUCAUUAGGCUAUUUAUUUUCUAUAUAUCUAAACAAUUAAUUAGAAAUAAUUAAUUUGGAAAUGACUAAUGUGCUAUUAGUUAAAAUAUUUGCUAUAAUUUGAAAAAGUAUAAUAUUAUUUUUAUAUUGUCUGGUAUUACAAAAAUAUAUUAUUAUGCUUUGUCAUUAAUAUUGUUGAGAAACAUGGAAAUUUCUGUAGAUGUAUCAUUAUAAUGAAUGGAUAUUAGAUAUUCUCUAUAUUCUUAUGUUAUGAAAAUUAUCUUUAAGUUGAGUUAAUAAAGAUGUUUUUUGAAACUAUU